UCACUUUCAACAACGGAUCUCUUGGCUCUCGUAUCGAUGAAGAACGUAGCGAAGUGCGAUAAGUAAUGUGAAUUGCAGAAUUCCGUGAAUCAUCGAAUCUUUGAACGCAAAUUGCACUCUCUGGUAACCCGGGGAGUAUGCCUGUUUGAGGGUCAAUA
rnacentral:rRNA from 1 species